rnacentral:rRNA from 1 species
UCCUACAAAUAAUCAACUUCUCCAGCAAACACAUGAACAACUCUAUCCAAAUAGAGACUCCUAUGCUAAAACUAUUAAUAUGAGCAACCGCUCUACCUGCGCAUUCAUCACUCAUACUACCGAUAAUUAACAGACCAUAAAAGGACAAGUACAACUCAAUUAACAGACCCUUUAAAUACUGUGAGUCCAACUCAGGUGCGCAACAGGUAAAAUUAAAAGCUACAAAAGGAACUCGGCAAACACAGAUUCCAACUGUUUACCAAAAACAUAGCCUUUAGCCAAACAAGUAUUAAAGGUAAUGCCUGCCCAGUGAAACCAUUUCAACGGCCGCGGUACCCUAACCGUGCAAAGGUAGCGUAAUCA